rnacentral:rRNA from 1 species
AUUGAACGCUGGCGGCAGGCCUAACACAUGCAAGUCGAGCGAGCGGCGGACGGGUGAGUAAUGUAUGGGGACUGCCCGCUAGAGGGGGAUAACUACUGGAAACGGUGGCUCCUAACGCAUACUGUAGGAUAACACAUAUGGGAGUAGCUAGUAGGUAAGGUAAUGGCUUACCUAGGCGACGAUCCCUAGCUGGUCUGAGAGGAUGAUCAGCCACACUGGAAAUGAGACACGGUCCAGACUCCUACGGAGGCAGCAGUGGGGAAUAUUGCACAAUGGGCGCAAGCCUGAUGCAGCCAUGCCGCGUGUAUGAAGAAGGCCCUAGGGUUGUAAAGUACUUUCAGUCGGGAGGCGUUACCGACAGAAGAAGCACCGGCUAACUCCGUGCCAGUAGCCGCGGUAAUAC